CGGCCGCGGUAUUUUUGACUGUGCGAAGGUAGCAUAAUCAUUUGCCUUUUAAUUGGGGGCUGGAAUGAAUGGCAAGACAGAGGCUGUGCUGUCUUUUCUUUGGUUUCUUGAAUUUAAUAUUGUUGUGAAGAAGCGACUAUUUGGUUGUAGGACGAGAAGACCCUGUCGAGCUUCACUUUAGGAGCGGUUGUUUUGAAAAGUUGUGUCACUGUAGGCUAAUUUUUUUUAUUACAUGAGAAAGUGAAGUUACUUGGAGUACGCAGAGUAGAGGGCUGUUUUUAUUGUUUGGUUGGGGCAACCGCGGAGAAUAAAAAUCCUCCGUUAUUAGUAAUAAUUUGGAAAAAUAACUAUUUUGUUGGAUAAAAGUGAUUUGAAUGAAGAUCCACUAGAAAGUAGUGAUUAAAGGAAAAAGUUACCGCAGGGAUAACAGCGUUAUUUCUUUGGAGAGUUCGUAUUGAUAAAGGAGUUUGCGACC
rnacentral:rRNA from 1 species